GGGGAAUAUUGCGCAAUGGGCGAAAGCCUGACGCAGCGACGCCGCGUGAGGGACGAAGGCCUUCGGGUUGUAAACCUCUUUCAGCAGGGACGAAGCCGCAAGGUGACUGUACCUGCAGAAGAAGCACCGGCUAACUACGUGCCAGCAGCCGCGGUAAUACGUAGGGUGCAAGCGUUGUCCGGAAUUAUUGGGCGUAAAGAGCUCGUAGGCGGUCUGUCGCGUCGGAUGUGAAAACCCAGGGCUCACCCCUGGGCCUGCAUUCGAUACGGGCAGACUAGAGUUCGGCAGGGGAGACUGGAAUUCCUGGUGUAGCGGUGAAAUGCGCAGAUAUCAGGAGGAACACCGGUGGCGAAGGCGGGUCUCUGGGCCGAUACUGACGCUGAGGAGCGAAAGCGUGGGGAGCAAAC
rnacentral:rRNA from 1 species